AGCGAACGCCGGCGGCAGGCCUAACACAUGCAAGUCGAGCGAACCCUUCGGGGUUAGUGGCGGACGGGUGAGUAACACGUGGGAGCGUGCCUUUAGGUUCGGAAUAACCCAGGGAAACUUGUGCUAAUACCGAAUGUGCCCUUCGGGGGAAAGAUUUAUCGCCUUUAGAGCGGCCCGCGUCUGAUUAGCUAGUUGGUGAGGUAAUGGCUCACCAAGGCUACGAUCAGUAGCUGGUCUGGGAGGAUGACCAGCCACAUUGGGACGGAGACACGGCCCAAACUCCUACGGGAGGCAGCAGUGGGGAAUCUUGCGCAAUGGGCGAAAGCCUGACGCAGCCAUGCCGCGUGGAUGAUGAAGGUCUUAGGACUGUAAAAUCCUUUCACCGGUGAAGAUAAUGACUGUAGCCGGAGAAGAGGCCCCGGCUAACUUCGUGCCAGCAGCCGCAGUAAAAC
rnacentral:rRNA from 1 species